UUCGGAUUGAAGGCUGAAAUUCGCCUUCAUGUAGUCGGAAUUGCUAGUAAUGGCAGGUCAGCAUACUGCCGUGAAUACGUUCCCGGGCCCUUGUACACACCGCCCGUCACACCAUGGGAGUCGGUAACACCCGAAGCCUGUAGUCUAACCGCAAGGGGGACGCAGUCGAAGGUGGGAUUGAUGACUGGGGUGAAGUCGUAACAAGGUAAC
rnacentral:rRNA from 1 species